AUCUCAUAAUUUUGUUUUAUUAACCGUUGACUGUUAACCUGGAAUUCAAAUUUUAACCCUGAAUAUUAUGCUAUUUAUUCACAAUCCGCUGUCAUUACAUUCAAUUAAUAUUCAAUAGAAAUAUCAAAUCCUAAAAUAUUCAACACGUGGUAUUAAUCAUUUGAAUUGUUGAGCUGAUUUAAUGAUCAUCUCGUGUUCUGGCUUAAGAGAUUCACAUCUUCGGUGAAUUUAUUGGUGACCAGAUUAAGCUUAACUAAUGUAUUAUAAUAUAAUUAAAUAUAAUGUAAUGCGUUGGUUAUGAAAGCAAUUGAUAAUCAAAGCUUGAUUAUUCCCUGAUUUAUUCAAAACAUGAAUAAAAUUGACCAGAAAAUGAAAAAAUGAAUGUAAUCUGUAAUUUUAACACCAAUGAAAAGCGUCGAUAGGAGCGCAAGUAAUCAGCUGUUAUUAGCUUUUUCAUGUUUCUUGUUAUGGAAAGGCUUUACUGUUAGCAAGCAAACAAUAAUUUAAAUGAUUAUAUAUGUUAAUUUUUGUGCAAUUAAUUAAUCUAAUUUACGUAGUAAAAUGUAAAAUUUGUCCUUAAUUAACUGUGAUUCUCUGCUGUAUUGUUUUUACUCUGUUAACAUUGGAAUAUUCAUUGCAACUCAACUUUUCAAUGCUUCUUUACCAAGGUAAUCUUGUGACUCUAUUAAGAUGUGAUGAUAAUAAUGAUAGAGAUCAAAGAGAUGGAAGAAGAUUAACCAAGCAGAAAAUUGAUUCAAUAGGAACUCAUAGAAAUCAUCAUCAAACUCACCCAAAGCUCUGGCCAUAUAAAUAUAUCAAGAAUUUCAAGUGAUAAGCACCACAUCAAUGGAUUGAAGGAAAAUUUACAAGGGAAAGUCAACCAACAAAAAGGUUAUCAUGGUCAUGUUUUUACCUGUAAACAUUGAACUGGCCAGUUUCAUUCCAUGUUAACCAAUCAUUUAAUCAAAUUGACAUCAACUAAGCAUCAAGUCCAACUCCAGUGAAACAAGAGUCAAGCCAGAUGUAAUGUUAAAUUCAAAGUCAAUUCACUUAACUUCUCAUCGUAACCAGCUUUUUUUUCAUCUUUUAAAAUGAUUAAAAGACGAUGAUGAUGAUGAUUAUGAUGAUAGGAAGAGUCAUUAAACGAGGAGGAAAAGCUGAUGAAAGUGAAUAGCAAUAAUAAUAAAAAUUGAAGAUAAAGAAAUAAAUAAUAUAAACUAAGCCUCCAUAACUAUCAUGUUUAGCCCAUCAUCAUCAAAAUCACCAUCAUCAUUAUUACUAUCAUCAUCAUUGGAAGGAGAAAGAGAGAGAUAAAUUGACACACCCAAGCGUUUGUGAUCUCAACCUAACCUAACAAACACUCACCGUUAUCAUAAUCAACCGGUCGGAAACCAUUUACCUACAACUGCUCUUCAAAUAAGGUGGAAACAUUUGUCUUCAAUUAUUAAAUGUAUAAUGGUACAGCAAUUUGGAUCCAUCUUUAACCGUUAUAAGGAAAGGAUAAAGUUGAUGAAAAGUUGAUGAUGAUGAUGAAAAGAUUAAACAAAAAAGGAGAAGAUGAAAUGAUAGGAAAAAUGUGUCCUCAAUAACAAUGAUUGGUUCAAAUUUGCAAUGUUUUAUAAAAAGGAUGAUCAUGAAAUGUAUUAUAAAGCAAAGUGACAACAGAAGGGAAGCAAAAGUAAUAAGACAAUAAAACUAUAUUAAAAGGAGUAGAUUUGAAGUGCAAAAGAUCUCUUUCUCGCUUGAUCAAGUCUAAUCCAUGAAAACAACCCUUGGGACAAUGUAUGUUGUUAAAAUUGGAGCAAGAGGAAGAUGCACUUGUCAAUAGGUCUAAAAGUAAAAGUGAUGAGGACUAAACCAGGAGAGAGGGAGGAAGAAAAGACAAUGAAAACAAAUAUGAAGAUGAUGAUGAUGAUGAAAAUGAUGGUUAUGUUAUCCGCUUAAAAAGCAGUAACAAACACGUUUGUAACAACGACUUGAACAGCUUCAACGACAACACAAAAUGUCAUCUCAAGUUUGUCUCCAAAAGGCAGUGGAAACCGAUGAAAAUGGAUCAAUGAAAUGAACGCCAGGAGAAACCAGAAGAGCAAAGAUUGAAACUAUAAUCUUGAAAAAUGAGUUUCCAAAUUUACCUUUCAACUAGAUGAUGUGAAAAAGGCAAUUCAACCAUCAAAAUGGACUCUCGAAGAAAGGCUGUAAAAGGAGGAGGAGGAGGAUGAAGAUGAUAGUGAUGAUGAGGAUGAGGAAAGUGAAGAGGUAAACCAACAACAACAACAAAGGAACCAAAGUUAAGCCAGUUAAUGUUUUGCUUCAACAUAAGGAAGAUUCAUUCAUCCGAUAAAAAAGUCUUUACAUUGUACCAUCAAAUGAUCAUUGAGACAAUAUAAAGUCAUCACUUCUAUCAUCACCAUCUUUACCAUCUUCAUCAUUCAUUUCAUUUUCACCACUCAAUUAAUGCACUUUCAUAAUCGAUAAAUAUAAUGCCACCAUUCAAAUGUCGAGCUAGCCGUUUAGCUUUAACCUAAAAAUCAAUGUAAAAUUGGGUCAAAGAAAAGUGAACCAAUUAGAAAGAAUUGCUAUCAAUGAUUAAUGAAAAAUUCAAGAAAAAAAAAGAUCAGAUAAAUCAGCUUUAAAAUGGUUUCAAUUUUAAAGCCUUUUUGGAGCUGCAAAAGGUUGACCCAUUCAUUUUGGAUUCUGAUUGGAAGGAAAUUAUAACAUCUAUAUAAACCAUGUUCAAUACAAGUUAUCCUGUUAGGUGGUGUUUAUUGAUUCACAUUGAUUCGUUGUUGAUUAAAGUUCAUGUCCAAAGAAAAUGGAGAUUAAUGAUGAGAUAUUCGUUUGACAACAUUAUCGACUUACCUUUACAAUGGCAAA